rnacentral:rRNA from 1 species
CCAGCAGCCGCGGUAAUUCCAGCUCCAAUAGCGUAUAUUUCAGUUGUUGCAGUUAAAAAGCUCGUGGUUGGAUUUCGGGUGGGUUGUAGCGGUCAGCCUUUGGUUAGUACUGCAAUGGCCUACCUUUCUGCCGGGGACGAGCUCCUGGGCUUAACUGUCCGGGACUCGGAAUCGGCGAGGUUACUUUGAGUAAUUUGAGUGUUCAAAGCAAGCCUACGCUCUGAAUACAUUAGCAUGGAAUAACACGAUAGGACUCUGGCUUAUCUUGUUGGUCUGUAAGACCGGAGUAAUGAUUAAGAGGGACAGUCGGGGGCAUUCGCAUUUCAUUGUCAGAGGUGAAAUUC